GUACUUUCUGUCUGCCGGGCGCUUGGGGAACAUUUCAUGCAAUAUUUGGAGGUUUUGUUUAUUUUUUAACUUUCCCUUCGGUGACAGUCCUGGCUCUGGAGAGAUAUGUGUCUGUAGCUCACCCUUUAUGGCAUCAAGUCAAGGUUACAUCUUGGUUUUGUUGCGCUUGGAUAGUUGUGUUAUGGUUAUUUAACUGCGUCUUCGCUGGGAUAACUGCAUACUUUUUCAACGUAUUGAUACUAGUUACAUAUCCCAGUGUAUGUUACUUAACUACAGUCCUCGUAUAUUUGCUGGCUUUUGUCUCAAUCCGCAGAAAGCAUUUAUCUCUCGAAACUGAUAUUUCAAAAUCAGAAACUAUUAGACGGAUGAUUAAACUACGUUUAAGAACUCAAAACCGUUUUCUAACUACAGUACUUAUAGUAAACAUUGUUCUUAUAUUCGGGAUAAUACCAUCAUUAAUUGGCUCGCCUUUGAAGGACAUGUUAGGAGAGGUGACAGUCUCUACAAGUGUUGCAGUAUUGUUUUAUACAGCGGAUAUUUUCUUUUUCAUAAACAUGGCAUCGAACCCAUUUUUGUAUCUUUGGAGGCUACCAAAGUAUAGAAAAACCUUUUUUGUUAUGUAUUGUUGUAAAAAAUAGACAUGCAGGAAGUCGUGUUAUAAUUUUGUGAUGUAUAGUAUGUAAUAAAUUAUCCUAAAAGUACCUGUUUUGCGUACGUUUGACGUACUUAACUUGUCAAUACGGCGCAAGCAUGUAUGCAUAAUCGCUACCGCAGCGAGCGCACAUUAAAUUAAGCGAACUAGCAAAGCAGCGAAGUCGCCC